rnacentral:snoRNA from 1 species
AGUCCAACUCUAUGCUAGCUAGUUUAUAUGCCAAGCUGUGCUAAGCAUCUAAUUUAACUGGACUCAUAUUAGACUUAGACGUUUUAAUAUCCUAGUGCCCGAAGAUUUGAAACCUCUUCUUGCUCUCUUGGAACUUAAAUCGACA